AACGAACGCUGGCGGCAUGCCUAACACAUGCAAGUCGAACGAGACCUUCGGGCCUAGUGGCGCACGGGUGCGUAACGCGUGGGAACCUGCCCUUAGGUUUGGAAUAACUCCCCGAAUGGGGUGCUAAUACCGGCUAAUGUCUUCCGACCAAAGAUUUAUCGCCUUUGGAUGGGCCCGCGUUGGAUUAGCUAGUUGGUAGGGUAAAAGCCUACCACGGCGACGAUCCAUAGCUGGACUGAGAGGAUGAUCAGCCACACUGGGACUGAGACACGGCCCAGACUCCGACGGGAGGCGGCAGUGGGGAAUAUUGGACAAUGGGCGAAAGCCUGAGCCAGCAGUGCCGCGUGAGUGAUGAAGGCGGUAGGGUUGUAAAGCUCUUACCCGGGAUGAUAAUGACAGUACCGGGAGAAUAAGCACCGGCUAACUCCGUG
rnacentral:rRNA from 1 species